CCGUCCUUAGCUCAGUUGGUUAGAGCACGGAGCUUAUACCUCCGGGGUCCUAGGUUCGAAUCCUAGAGGACGGACCA
rnacentral:tRNA from 2 species